rnacentral:rRNA from 1 species
GGCAAGAGCUCAGAUUUGAAAUCGUGUUUCGGCACGAGUUGUAGAGUGUAGGCGGGAGUCUCUGUGGAGCGCGGUGUCCAAGUCCCUUGGAACAGGGUGCCUGAGAGGGUGAGAGCCCCGUAGGGUGCUGCGCGAAGCUUUUGAGGCCCUGCUGACGAGUCGAGUUGUUUGGGAAUGCAGCUCCAAGCGGGUGGUAAAUUCCAUCUAAGGCUAAAUAUUGGCGAGAGACCGAUAGCGAACAAGUACUGUGAAGGAAAGAUGAAAAGCACUUUGAAAAGAGAGUGAAACAGCACGUGAAAUUGUUGAAAGGGAAGGGUAUUGGGCUCGACAUGGGGGGUGCGCACCGCUGUCUCUUGUAGGCGGCGCUCUGGGCGCCCUCUGGGCCAGCAUCGGUUCCUGCUGCGGGAGAAGGGGCUCCGGAAAGUGGCUCUUCGGAGUGUUAUAGCCGGGGCCAGAUGCCGCGUGUGGGGACCGAGGACUGCGGCUUCUGUCUCGGAUGCUGGCAUAACGGCGCAAUACCGCCCG